GACGAACGCUGGCGGCGUGCUUAACACAUGCAAGUCGAACGACGAAGCCCUUCGGGGUGGAUUAGUGGCGAACGGGUGAGUAACACGUGGGCAAUCUGCCCUUCACUCUGGGACAAGCCCUGGAAACGGGGUCUAAUACCGGAUAACACUUCCGCUCGCAUGGGUGGAGGUUAAAAGCUCCGGCGGUGAAGGAUGAGCCCGCGGCCUAUCAGCUUGUUGGUGAGGUAAUGGCUCACCAAGGCGACGACGGGUAGCCGGCCUGAGAGGGCGACCGGCCACACUGGGACUGAGACACGGCCCAGACUCCUACGGGAGGCAGCAGUGGGGAAUAUUGCACAAUGGGCGAAAGCCUGAUGCAGCGACGCCGCGUGAGGGAUGACGGCCUUCGGGUUGUAAACCUCUUUCAGCAGGGAAGAAGCGAAAGUGACGGUACCUGCAGAAGAAGCGCCGGCUAACUACGUGCCAGCCGCCGCGGUAA
rnacentral:rRNA from 1 species